rnacentral:pre_miRNA from 1 species
AAAAAGACAAACCCUGGGUUUCCGUGUCUAACUUUGACUGUCCGUCUUAUAUGAAAUUUUUUUAUAAUUUGUAUUUUCAUUGUUGUUAAAUGAUAAAACAUGAUUAAUAUUUUAUGCGUGACUUGUCUUUUUACUUUUUUUUUCAUAAUUUUUUCAAAUAAGACGGACGGUCAAACGUUGGGCACGGAAAUCAAGGUUUGUCUUUUUU